rnacentral:misc_RNA from 1 species
GAUGAAGAACGUAGCGAAAUGCGAUAAGUAGUGUGAAUUGCAGAAUUCAGUGAAUCAUCGAAUCUUUGAACGCACAUUGCGCCCCUUGGUAUCCCGAGGGGCAUGCCUGUUCGAGCGUCAUUUCACCACUCAAGCCUGGCUUGGUGUUGGGCGACGUCCCCUUUGGGGACGCGCCUCGAAACGCUCGGCGGCGUGGCACCGGCUUUAAGCGUAGCAGAAUCUUUCGCUUUGGAAGUCGGGGCCCCGUCUGCCGGAAGACCUACUCGCAAGGUUGACCUCGGAUCAGGCAGGGAUACCCGCUGAAUUUAAGCAUAUCAAUAAGCGGAGGA